UUGAGGGCGGAGGAGCUGUUCAAAAAUCACAUGAAGGUUGCCUGAGGACCGACGGAGAGCCAACGUCACCGCAGUCUUGAGAAAGAGCAAGAAGGAUGGCCUGCGCAACUGUAGGUUGGCAGUCUCACCUCCCUCCCUGGCACAGUGAUGGGACAGCUCGUUCUAGAUGUUACCUUCUCUUCCCGUUGCUCAGAGAUAUUUGUAAGGAGCAGCCACGGUGGAUUCAGCAAGGGGAAGCGAUGUCAGACUGAGCUGGGUGAGUGCCACAGCAGAGCAUUCAGCAGCGAGGAUCAGCCUGGAGUUGUGAGCCCUCUGACUGGUCUGCCCUGCGUU